UCUUCAAGUAACUCCUUUAAUUCCCCAUCUUGAGAUUGAUCCGAUAUAAGUACCCUAGUUUGCUCAAGUUCUCUUUCUUGUGCUAACUUUGCUUCAGCAUAGUUGGACAGAUGAGACUCCAAUUCAGCGAUUCUUUCCCUGAACUUGUUAUUUUCCUGCUCCGAGUUGUCCAACUGUUUUGAAAUCUCAAACAAUCUGCUUUCAAGCCUGUAAGAUACUUGCUUAAGGUGACUCGCUUUAGUGGAUUCAAUUUUUAAUUCUGUCAAUUGUCGCUUUGCAAGUUUCAUCCUCCAAAGAGACUGGAUACGAACUGCAUAAUAUUGUAGUUCUUUGUAGUGCUUAUGGGCUUUAAAUGUUAACCAAAGA